rnacentral:rRNA from 1 species
UACGAAGGGGGCUAGCGUUGCUCGGAAUCACUGGGCGUAAAGGGCGCGUAGGCGGCUUUACAAGUCAGGGGUGAAAUCCCACGGCUCAACCGUGGAAUUGCCUUUGAAACUGUAAAGCUAGAGUGUCGGAGGGGAUAGCGGAAUUGCUAAUGUAGAGGUGAAAUUCGUAGAUAUUAGCAGGAACACCGGUGGCGAAGGCGGCUAUCUGGACGACAACUGACGCUGAGGCGCGAAAGCAUGGGGAUCAAACAGG